rnacentral:rRNA from 1 species
GUCCACACAGUAAACGAUGAAUACUCGCUGUUUGCGAUAUACAGUAAGCGGCUAAGCGAAAGCGUUAAGUAUUCCACCUGGGGAGUACGCCGGCAACGGUGAAACUCAAAGGAAUUGACGGGGGCCCGCACAAGCGGAGGAACAUGUGGUUUAAUUCGAUGAUACGCGAGGAACCUUACCCGGGCUUGAACUGCCGGUGAACGAUACAGAGAUGUUGAGGCCCUUCGGGGCGCCGGUGGAGGUGCUGCAUGGUUGUCGU